rnacentral:rRNA from 1 species
AAGAUGAAGUUUUCGGAUGGAAUCUUGAUUGACUGAGUGGCGGACGGGUGAGUAACGCGUGGGUAACCUGCCUCACACUGGGGGAUAACAGUUAGAAAUGACUGCUAAUACCGCAUAAGCGCACAGUGCCGCAUGGCAGUGUGUGAAAAACUCCGGUGGUGUGAGAUGGAUCCGCGUCUGAUUAGCCAGUUGGCGGGGUAACGGCCCGCCAAAGCGACGAUCAGUAGCCGACCUGAGAGGGUGACCGGCCACAUUGGGACUGAGACACGGCCCAAACUCCUACGGGAGGCAGCAGUGGGGAAUAUUGCACAAUGGGCGAAAGCCUGAUGCAGCGACGCCGCGUGAGUGAAGAAGUAUUUCGGUAUGUAAAGCUCUAUCAGCAGGGAAGAAAAUGACGGUACCUGACUAAGAAGCCCCGGCUAACUACGUGCCAGCAGCCGCGGUAAUACGUAGGGGGCAAGCGUUAUCCGGAUUUACUGGGUGUAAAGGGAGCGUAGACGGCGAAGCAAGUCUGAAGUGAAAACCCAGGGCUCAACCCUGGGACUGCUUUGGAAACUGUUUUGCUAGAGUGUCGGAGAGGUAAGUGGAAUUCCUAGUGUAGCGGUGAAAUGCGUAGAUAUUAGGAGGAACACCAGUGGCGAAGGCGGCUUACUGGACGAUAACUGACGUUGAGGCUCGAAAGCGUGGGGAGCAAACAGG